GAGGAGCCCAUGCAGCCAAGAGUGCAGAGUGCCAGCCCCUGCACAUAUUGCGUGCUGUGGUUAAGGUCGUUCUUGAUGCAAUUGGUCAUAAGAAGAUGGACAUCCUGUCUCUCAUCCAGCAGCAACAUGGCACCUAAAUACCCAAUGCGCUUGUCUGUGAAUUUCUGAGAGGCAAUGAGCUUGAGGCACUCCAACUGUCCAAAAUGUGCAGGGUAUCCCAGCAUGUGCAUAUACAGCAGCUUUGCCACAUUUCUGCAUCUGUAUGUGUUAUCUUCCUCUCGGAAGGAUGACCGGAUAGCAGCACAUUCCUUUUGAAUCAUCUCACGCUCUUCUGCCUGGGUUCUUGCUGUCCGGAUGGUCCGGAUCAGCUCCCGCAGUCU
rnacentral:lncRNA from 1 species